rnacentral:rRNA from 1 species
UUGACCUCGGAUCAGGUAGGGAUACCCGCUGAACUUAAGCAUAUCAAUAAGCGGAGGAGA